AACGCACCUUGCGCCCCGUGGCUUUCCACGGGGCACGCCCGUUCGAGUGUCACGUCAACCUUCGCCAACCCGAUAGCAAUAUCGGGAGAAGCGGACUUGGACGCUGCCGGUCGCGAGAUCGGCUCGUUUCGAAAUGCAUUAGCGGAGUGAAGGCGCGAGCGCGACGUUGAUAAUCGUCCACGCCUCGCGAGCGUCUGACCUCGCUUCCAAUCGCCGUGAGGCAAUUUAUCCGAGUUUGACCUCGAAUCGGGUGGGACUACCCGCUGAACUUAA
rnacentral:misc_RNA from 1 species